GGUGGAAUUGGCCUUCAAAGAAGCCAUGAAACAAGCCUCUUUGUUCAUCAAAGUCUAUGUCCUCCUGGAUGCUCUGUACAAGCUUUACAGGAUCCCUAAACAGGCCGCUGGUUUGAAGGCAGCUUUCAGUACCACCAACAUCUCCAAGAUCUGGCCUGUCCGAGUUGGAGGAACGCGCUGGGUUAGCCAUACCCACACAGCACUGCAAAACAUGUUGCGUGGUUACCGUGCAAUUGUUCUUCAUCUCAGUCAAGUAAGACAUUUGAUAAUAAUAACAUGUUAUUAACAGCCCGAUGAAUUUUCUGUUGCAUGAAUGAUAUCAUCUGAUAUCCACUGUGGCAACAUAUUGAAAUACAUUUUUGUAAAUUGAAAUUAAAAAAAAUAUUAAAUGAAUUGCAGGUUGCCACCACCAGGACAGCUAGUGGUAUGCAAGCAAAGGCAAAAGGUCUCCUGAAAACGCUGCGCUCCAAAGAUGCCAUGACUUUUGCCCACUUCCUAAGUGACAUUCUGGCCGUUCUCUCCAAACUGUCGAAGACGCUGCAGCAGAGAGAAGUUUGUACCUAUCAUGUACAUGAAGCACUGAAGGCCACAAUGACCAGCAUCAACAAAUUCAAGGACCGGGCAGGACCUGAGCAGCGGAAACUCCAGCAGGGAGACUGUAACUCCUUUGAAGGUCAGACCCUAACAGGGGUAGACCACUCUUCAGGCCAGAUUGAGAAGGUCGUUGAGGCAUUGGUUGGUUCACUAGCCCGGAGAUUCAGUGACAUGGGAGGUGAAGUCCUCAAAGCUACAAAAAUAGCGGACAUGUAGUCAUGGCCUCAGGAGCAUGAAGAUGAUUUUGGGGAUGACUUCAUUGGAGUGAUUAUCGACCACUACAGGGAGCACUUCGACAAUGUUGGAGUAGAUGUAAGUGCAAUCGAAGCAGAGUGGACCUCCCUCAAACAAGCAUUGUACGAAAACCAGGGGAACAAGAUUCACUCCAUGUCCUGGCCAUCUGUGUUUGAGCUUUACAAGAGCACGUUUCCAAAUAUCCUGCAUGUAAUUGAUCUGGUCUUAUCACUCCCUGCCGCCACCUCUGAGUGUGAGAGAGGAUUCUCUCAAAUGAAGAUUACCAAGUCCCAGUACAGGAAUAGACUGAAGGCUACCACCAUGACAAUGCUCAUGACAAUUCAGCUGCACUCAGAACCUACAAAGGAUUUUGAUCCAUCAUCUGCCAUUCACCAGUGGAAUCAAAACCACAAUCGCAGACCCAACUUCAUGGAGGGAAGAAAGAAAGGCAGAAUGGCAGCUUUGGAGGGAGCCAAAUAAGUGCAGGAAGAGAUUGAUGGAGUUGACGGAGUGGAUGGUGCUCAAAUGGUUGCUGAAGCUGCUGGGGGUGCAGUAGUUGAAGCUGAAACCAAGGAGAUAAACUCUGAUGACUCAGACUGGUUUACAGACAUGGAGGAUAAUGUAGAUUCUGACGAUGGUGAGAUGGAAGAUAGAGGUCUUGUUGGUGAGGAUGAGGAAUGAUUGUGGUAGUCUGUUGUAGACCAAUUACUACUGCUAUUACAGCAAGUAUUACGGUUUGUAUUACCAUUUUGCCUAAAUGAACUGAUGUUGAUCGUUUGAUCCACUGCUAAUAUUGUUCAUGUCCCUUGUUCUCAGUCUGUUGUUCUACUUUAAUAAAUUAUUGUUUGUAA